rnacentral:rRNA from 1 species
AACGUAGGUGGCGAGCGUUAUCCGGAUUCAUUGGGCGUAAAGCGCUUGUAGGUGGCCUUGUAAGUUGGACGUGAAAUCUCCCGGCUUAACCGGGCGGGGUCGUUCAAUACUGCAGGGCUGGAGGAUGUCAGAGGGCAGCGGAAUUCCUGGUGUAGCAGUGAAAUGCGUAGAUAUCAGGAGGAACACCCGUGGCGAAGGCGGCUGCCUGGGAUGUGACUGACGCUCAUGUACGAAAGCGUGGGGAGCAAACAGG